AAAAGAGGAGCUUGAUCAAAACAAAAAACCAAAAGAGAAGAAACCCCUUUCAACCCCGUCGGGUCGUGUACUCAGCCCCUCCCUCGAGCACCUCCCUCUAGUGCUAUAGCUACAGUCUGUGACUCUGUGUCUGUGACUGCGCAUUGCUUAUUGAAGAAGCAGGUCCAAUGAGCAAACAGAGACCGCCACCGGACCCAGUGGCUGUGCUGAGAGGUCACCGCGCCUCUGUCAUGGACCUCUGUUUUCAUCCAUCCCAACCUCUCCUAUGCACCGGUUCCGCAGACGGCGAGUUGCGGAUUUGGGACACUAUCCAGCAUCGGACUAUAUUAUCAGCAGGGUACUUCAUAUACACAAUGGUGCAUAAUGCGGCACAGGGGAUUGCUUCUGUUGCUUGUAGUUCUUCAAUUGGAGCCAAUAAAGUGAUCAGCCAGGGUAGGGACGGAACAGUGAAGUGUUGGGAUAUUGAAGAUGGAGGUCUGUCCAGGACACCUUCUGUUACAAUCAAGACAAACUCUUACCACUUUUGUAAACUUUCCUUGGUGAAGAGACCUCAUUCUAGUUCUACGCGAGUUUACGGGACUACACAUAAUGACAUUGAUGAAACAAGGGUUAGGGAGAAUGCUGAUGCGGAUACUCUAGACGAUAGCAGAGAAAAGUUUCAAGAGUAUCUGCCUGAGCAGUCCAGCACAUUUGAAGAAAAUACUCAAGUUGAGGGAUCGAAAUAUGUCGCUGUAGCAGGGGAGCAGCCUUCUGAGGUUGAGAUUUGGGAUCUUAAUACUGCAGAAAGGUUUGCACGGCUACCUCAAAGCUGCGUUGCUGGUUCCUCAGGUAUAUCUACCACACAGAGAGGAAUGUGCAUGGCGGUUCAAGCAUUCUCACCAUCCAAAUCACAGGGAUUCCUAAAUGUCUUGGUUGGCUAUGAGGAUGGUUCCAUGCUUUGGUGGGAUAUUAGAAAUCCAGGGGUUCCAUUGACCUCGGUCAAUUUUCAUUCAGAGCCAGUUCUAAGUCUAUGCGUUGAUGGGUCAUGCAAUGGUGGUGUCUCAGGAGCCGCAGAUGACAAAGUUGUGCUGUACAGUUUGGAUCAUUCCAUGGGUACAUGUGUGAUCAAGAAAGAAAUUAGUUUGGAACGACCUGGCAUAUCGAGCACUUCUAUUCGACCUGAUGGUAAAAAUUUUGCAACAGCUGGCUGGGACCACAGAGUGAGAGUAUAUAACUAUCGCAAAGGCAAUGCUCUGGCGAUAUUGAAGUAUCACCAUGCAACGUGUAAUGCUGUUUCUUAUUCACCCGAUUGCAAGCAAAUGGCAUCUGCAUCAGAAGAUACGACGGUGGCACUGUGGGAACUUUAUCCUCCUCGAACUUGAAAUGAUAUGGUGGUCCUGAAGUGGAAAUGAGUUUGUGUUCCCUAUAAUGUAAUAGAAGAGCAUCAAUAAUCAGUAUCAUUACCGUUUGUGUGCGUAUGCAAUUGAAAAACAGAGCCAAACUCGCACCCUUUCAGACGCAAAAGAAAGGGCCAAGUCGCGUUGAUUUGAUUUGGACAUUUAGUUUGGCGGCAAUCAUCCAAUCCAAUGGCAUCGAAUAGAGGUGCCACAUUCUUAGCCUCUGAUCUACAAAGCAAUGAUUGGCUUGGCUAUGCUGAAGAGGAGGUUUAUAAAUUAUUGCUUCACAGCUCUCAAUUUGAUAUCUCUUACUUCGCACAAGAAAAAGAGGACCCAUUGUUGACUAUACCAGUUAGUCUUGAAAUAUUUUUCAAUAGCAGCAGCCGGGGAAAGAAGUUGCACAUAGAUUCUGAAUUUUUCAUAACCAGCUUUCUUUACUUCCUCUUCUUGAUCUCUUUAGGGACUGACCCUAAAGUUCAAUUUCUACCUCUAGAUUAGGCUUCCAUUUUUCCAAAUUGUCGGUCGGCUUUGCUGCAAUGUUUAUGUAAUAAUAUUACCAACUCCCUCGUGAUUAUUACUAAUUAAGCCAU